AUAUAGUGUAUUCCGAGAUGGUGUCUGUGUUUUCUCAAUUCUGUCCUGCUUUGGUACAGCCUGGGAUAAUACUAGCUAGUCAUAAAGUGUCCCGAAUUGGUACCAAUUCACUUUUCUCAUACUGGGAGAACAAAUAUUCGCUUAUCAUUCUAGCAUCUGGCAAAGAAGCAGCCACAGAAUCUCAUAUAUCCCUACACAAUUUGCCAUAACUGGCAGGCUUUUCUAAAACUGAAUAACUGAAUAAUAAUGAAGGCCAUUAAUGAUGAUUAGAAACAUUACAAAGAGUGAAAAAAAAAACACAGUAAUACAGUUUCUUACAUUCAUGGACUGACUACGAGAAGAGCAUUUUGUAGAAAUGGUGCAUAAUUAUUACUCAAGGAGUGAACAUCAAAGAUCAAAUGUGCUGCACUUUGACCAGUGUCAGAGAAGCCACAGACUACCUAGACAUUUUAUGAGAAAUAAUCCACUAGUUGGAGCCUGUGUUGGAGAAAGAAGCUUCUCCCAAGGACCUCCUAUCUCCAUUCUCACAGUCUGCCUGUCAUUAAAACCUGAGAGUGGGAAUGCCAAGCCACAGCCAGACGUUCAAUUCAAGGCAGCAAUAAAUGAAAGUGAAGAUAAGAUGACAAGUAUUUAUGAACUACAGAAACCAAC
ensembl:lncRNA